rnacentral:rRNA from 1 species
CACGUAGGGGGCGAGCGUUGUCCGGAUUUAUUGGGCGUAAAGAGCUCGUAGGCGGCUCAGUAAGUCGGGUGUGAAAACUCCAGGCUCAACCUGGAGACGCCACCUGAUACUGCUGUGGCUAGAGUCCGGUAGGGGAGCAUGGAAUUCCUGGUGUAGCGGUGAAAUGCGCAGAUAUCAGGAGGAACACCAGUGGCGAAGGCAGCUCGCUGGGACGGUACUGACGCUGAGGCGCGAAAGCGUGGGGAGCAAACAGG